AGACUGCCACCCGAGGUUAGUCCAGUGGAACCACCUCAGUAUAGAAAUACUAGGCUAAAGGACCUCCUGCCAUUCCCACACAUGAGUUACCCUUCUCUACCUGAGAAGGCGUAAUCACGGAAUAUCAGGAUAGAGCAGAACCUAAGUCUGACCAUAGUCAUACUCCACUAAAUCAAUUCCCCAAAUCAUGAGAUAUUCC
rnacentral:lncRNA from 1 species